GAAGGACCUGGCUGCUUGGAGAGAAAGGUUAAUGAGCUUUCUAAGAAGAGGAACAUUUCUCAAGCAAAUUUUUUUUUGAAAGUGCGUGGAAUCCUGUGUCCUGGGUGCUGGAACAAUCUGUAUAGUGGGGGUGCUGAGAACCACUGAACUGUAAAUGCUGUAUAUGAUGCGGCAGCACCCCAGUUCCAGCACCUAUGCCUUCGUCUCUGCAGGCAGAAGAAAUCCACUAGCAGGAAACAACUUUUUUUUGCUCACAGAACCAGGAACCCACUUUUCAGCCUGCACCCUGACCCCAAAACUUCUCCCCAGGUUUCCUCCAAAGACAGCCACUUGCUUUUAACUCCUUCCUCAGGCUGCCUCUCUCACAUCGUCUGUUCUUGUCUGACCUCCAUUUCUGCGAGCUCUUUCUCCCCCGCCCCCUGCCCAAAACAACCAUACUUAACCCAAAGCUCCUGGGUGGGUUCACACACACCUUUUGUCUUAGGUGGGGUUUAUACUUAUAAUUAUGUUAAUUGAAGGGUGAGUUCACACCUAGUAAUCUCAAGGAGACUUUAACUCCACCCAUAACGAUAUUUCACCCAGCCCAUAAGGCUACCGAGGGAAGGACGAGAAGGGAUGGGGGAGUUUGGUGGUGGUGCAGCAGCUGCUGUGGCAACAGAGAAUACAUCUAUAGCUCCUUUCGUUUUGAUGCAGAAAAUACUAGGUAACACUCAAUAGGUUGGGUUAUGCAGGAGGUCAGAGAGGAGGAUCACCAUGGGACGACUCCAUCUAUGAAAAGUGAGCAAGUGCAACCCUCUUCCUUCCUGUCAAACAUCGGGGGGCUCCCCAACUCUGAGACACUGGAUAACUAGCGAGAAAAAGGACAAGUGGAUGCAUUUGUUUGGCAAAGAUUCACAGCUGCGCAUGAGCCAGUGUUACUCCAUCUUCAAAACACGCCCCCGCCAGCUGCCACUUAUUUGACUGAUGGCAAGUUAGAAGGGGGAUCCAUAAAAACAAA